rnacentral:rRNA from 1 species
AGACCCGAAACCCGGUGAUCUAGCCAUGGGCAGGUUGAAGGUUGGGUAACACUAACUGGAGGACCGAACCGACUAAUGUUGAAAAAUUAGCGGAUGACCUGUGGCUGGGGGUGAAAGGCCAAUCAAACCGGGAGAUAGCUGGUUCUCCCCGAAAGCUAUUUAGGUAGCGCCUCGUGAAUUCAUCUCCGGGGGUAGAGCACUGUUUCGGCUAGGGGGCCAUCCCGGCUUACCAACCCGAUGCAAACUGCGAAUACCGGAGAAUGUUAUCACGGGAGACACACGGCGGGUGCUAACGUCCGUCGUGAAGAGGGAAACAACCCAGACCGCCAGCUAAGGUCCCAAAGUCAUGGUUAAGUGGGAAACGAUGUGGGAAGGCCCAGACAGCCAGGAUGUUGGCUUAGAAGCAGCCAUCAUUUAAAGAAAGCGUAAUAGCUCACUGGUCGAGUCGGCCUGCGCGGAAGAUGUAACGGGGCUAAACCAUGCACCGAAGCUGCGGCAGCGACGCUUAUGCGUUGUUGGGUAGGGGAGCGUUCUGUAAGCCUGUGAAGGUGUGUCGUGAGGCAUGCUGGAGGUAUCAGAAGUGCGAAUGCUGACAUAAGUAACGAUAAAGCGGGUGAAAAGCCCGCUCGCCGGAAGACCAAGGGUUCCUGUCCAACGUUAAUCGGGGCAGGGUGAGUCGACCCCUAAGGCGAGGCCGAAAGGCGUAGUCGAUGGGAAACAGGUUAAUAUUCCUGUACUUGGUGUUACUGCGAAGGGGGGACGGAGAAGGCUAUGUUGGCCGGGCGACGGUUGUCCCGGUUUAAGCGUGUAGGUGUGUGUUCCAGGUAAAUCCGGUUCACUUUAACACUGAGGCGUGAUGACGAGGCACUACGGUGCUGAAGCAACAAAUGCCCUGCUUCCAGGAAAAGCCUCUAAGCAUCAGGUAACAUCAAAUCGUACCCCAAACCGACACAGGUGGUCAGGUAGAGAAUACCAAGGCGCUUGAGAGAACUCGGGUGAAGGAACUAGGCAAAAUGGUGCCGUAACUUCGGGAGAAGGCACGCUGACACGUAGGUGAAGUGAUUUACUCAUGGAGCUGAAGUCAGUCGAAGAUACCAGCUGGCUGCAACUGUUUAUUAAAAACACAGCACUGUGCAAACACGAAAGUGGACGUAUACGGUGUGACGCCUGCCCGGUGCCGGAAGGUUAAUUGAUGGGGUCAGCGCAAGCGAAGCUCCUGAUCGAAGCCCCGGUAAACGGCGGCCGUAACUAUAACGGUCCUAAGGUAGCGAAAUUCCUUGUCGGGUAAGUUCCGACCUGCACGAAUGGCGUAAUGAUGGCCAGGCUGUCUCCACCCGAGACUCAGUGAAAUUGAACUCGCUGUGAAGAUGCAGUGUACCCGCGGCAAGACGGAAAGACCCCGUGAACCUUUACUAUAGCUUGACACUGAACAUUGAGCCUUGAUGUGUAGGAUAGGUGGGAGGCUUUGAAGUGUGGACGCCAGUCUGCAUGGAGCCGACCUUGAAAUACCACCCUUUAAUGUUUGAUGUUCUAACGUGGACCCGU